GGUGGCUCAGUUGUAGAGCGCUUGCCUUGCAUGCAUGAGGUCCUGGGUUCAAUUCCUCAGCACCA
rnacentral:tRNA from 1 species